GAUGAACGCUGGCGGCGUGCCUAGUACAUGCAAGUCGAGCGAACGGACGAGAAGCUUGCUUCUCUGAUGUUAGCGGCGGACGGGUGAGUAACACGUGGAUAACCUACCUAUAAGACUGGGAUAACUUCGGGAAACCGUAGCUAAUACCGGAUAAUAUUUUGAACCGCAUGGUUCAGAAGUGAAAGACGGUCUUGCUGUCACUUAUAGAUGGAUCCGCGCUGCAUUAGCUAGUUGGUAAGGUAACGGCUUACCAAGGCAACGAUGCAUAGCCGACCUGAGAGGGUGAUCGGCCACACUGGAACUGAGACACGGUCCAGACUCCUACGGGAGGCAGCAGUAGGGAAUCUUCCGCAAUGGGCGAAAGCCUGACGGAGCAACGCCGCGUGAGUGAUGAAGGUCUUCGGAUCGUAAAACUCUGUUAUUAGGGAAGAACAUAUGUGUAAGUAACUGUGCACAUCUUGACGGUACCUAAUCAGAAAGCCACGGCUAACUACGUG
rnacentral:rRNA from 1 species